GAUGAAGAACGUAGUGAAAUGCGAUAAGUAAUGUGAAUUGCAGAAUUCAGUGAAUCAUCGAAUCUUUGAACGCACAUUGCGCCCGCCAGUAUUCUGGCGGGCAUGCCUGUUCGAGCGUCAUUUCAACCCUCAAGCCCCAGCGGCCUGGUGUUGGGGACCGGCGACCUCGCCCGAGCCCGCCCUCCGGGGCGCGUGCCCGGUGCGUCCGCCGCCCCCGAAAUGAAUUGGCGGCCUCGUCGCGGCCUCCUCUGCGUAGUAGCACAACCUCGCAAGCGGGAGCGCGACGCGGCCACUGCCGUAAAACGCCCAACUUUUUUAGAGUUGACCUCGGAUCAGGUAGGAAUACCCGCUGAACUUAAGCAUAUCAAUAGCGGAGGA
rnacentral:misc_RNA from 1 species